AGAACCUGGGAAAGGAUUGUUGUGUUCCUUAAGAAUGGUGUUUCCUCAAAGACAGGUGCAAGAAUAAAUCCUCAUUUGCAACCCAAAACUCAUUGUGCAGUGUGAGUUUUGAUACAGAUAAGAAGGGACAUG
ensembl:snoRNA